rnacentral:misc_RNA from 1 species
GAUGAAGAACGUAGUGAAAUGCGAUAAGUAAUGUGAAUUGCAAAAUUCAGUGAAUCAUCGAAUCUUUGAACGCACAUUGCGCCCCUUGGUAUUCCGAGGGGCAUGCCUGUUCGAGCGUCAUUAUAACCCCUCAAGCUCAGCUUGGUGUUGGGGCCUGCCGCACGGGCAGCCCUUAAAAUCAGUGGCGGUGCCAUCUGGCUCUAAGCGUAGUAAUUCUUCUCGCUAUAGAGUCCCGGUGGAUGCUUGCCAUUAACCCCCAAUUUUCUAUGGUUGACCUCGGAUCAGGUAGGGAUACCCGCUGAACUUAAGCAUAUCAAUAAGCGGAGGA